rnacentral:rRNA from 1 species
GAGGAGAGCGCUCGGUCUCGGUUCUGCCGUGUACUGGGCCGCUCGAAUCUUUCUUCUGGGGAAGCGAGGUGCCCUUUACUGGGUGCCUCGGGGAACCAGGACGAUUACCUUGAGAAAAAUAGAGUGUUCAAAGCAGGCAUUUGCUUGAAUACGUUAGCAUGGAAUAAUAAAAUAGGACUUUGGUUCUAUUUUGUUGGUUUUAAGGACCAAUGUC